rnacentral:lncRNA from 1 species
AAAAUGCUGAAUAAUUUUCAACAUUUUCCCAAAACAAAACAGCUCUAUCCUCAAUAUUACUAUCCUAAGAAAUGUUUAAAAUUAUCAAUAGAGAAUAUUUAAAAUAGUAUUUUCAAUUAAAAUAGCUCUACAUAGAAUCACUUAAGCCCUAGAAGUACAAGAUUUUCUACCUAGUCAUGGUCCUUGUUUCUCUUAGUGAUAACCGUACUACUGAAUUUGUAGGUGUUUUUCUUUGCAGAUUCUUUACAUGUAAUGUAAAGUUCCAGAAAUUAUGAAUAACGUGUUGUGCUGAAAUACCUUUUGAAACCAUUUUUGACUUUGUGACGCUGCUGAUACCUGUUUAAAAUUUGUUCUCGAUAAAAGUUGCUAGUAACAGUAGCAGUUACCGUUUCAAAAGAUGGUGAGAGUCUUUCCCUUGCUUGUACACUUCUUCCCAGCUCUAUGCACUACCUAAAGCAUAGCAUGUGCAAUGGACAUGCAUUUGUCCACGAGGGCGCUUGUAUUGGGAAGUAGCUUGCCUAUCAGUUCUAUCCAUGGCUUCAAGCUGAAACAUGAAUUUUUUUAUUUAAUUUAAUUUGCAAAUAAAAUUUUACAAAUACAAAACAUGGAAUCCCUUACCCUUCACUCUACUACAUAAUUAUCAUGAGCUAAUUUUAUAAUUCAGAAAAUUAUGAAUUAAUUAACUUUUAAAAUAACCAAUUCAUGUAUAUUUUAUUCUAAUCAUUUGUCACAGACACAAUUCCUACUUUAAGGUUGACUUUCUCUCUGUGAAUGUCUUCAUAAAGUUAGGUGUGGAUUUUGAAGAACAGAUAUUAACGAUUAUUACUAUGCUAGACAACAAAUUAUGAAAUAUAACAUUGAAUGCUGUCGUCUGGUGUGUCUGUAAGGACAGAAAUAACUAAGAUACACAUAACUUUUGCAAACUUUCAAGCUGUGUAAUAUUCCAAUGUUGUUUUUUCUUUGUAGAUAUACUUAAAUCACGUAGGAUGUUGUAAACUCAGUAUGAUCAUGUCUAGUCCUCAAACUUAAAAUAAACUUUUGAAAAACCGUGUU